GCCGGGCACGGUGGCGUGUGCGUAUAGUCUCAAUUACUUGGCAGGCUGAGGUGGGAGGAUCGCUUGAGCCCAGGAGUUCUGGGCUGUAGUGCACUAUGCCGAUCGGGGGUCCACACUAAGUUUGGCAUCAAUAUGGUGACCUCCCGGGAGUGGAGGACCACCAGGUUGCCUAAGGAGGGGUGAACCGGUGGGAAACGGAGCAGGUCAAAACUCCCGUGCUGUUCAGUAGUGGGAUCGCACCUGUGAAUAGCCACUGCACUCCAGCCUGGGCAACAUAGCGAGACCCCGUCUCUA
ensembl:misc_RNA Metazoa_SRP Metazoan signal recognition particle RNA